UCAAACUUGGUCAUUUAGAGGAAGUAAAAGUCGUAACAAGGUCUCCGUUGGUGAACCAGCGGAGGGAUCAUUACUGAGUUGCAAAACUCCCUAAACCAUUGUGAACCUACCUGUACCGUUCCUUCGGCGGGCGGCGUCGCGCCCUAACCUGCCCCCGGGCAGACCCGCCGGAGGCCCCUAAACUCUUAACUUUAGUUGGCAUCUCUGAGUAAAUCAAAAAUAAGUCAAAACUUUCAACAACGGAUCUCUUGGCUCUGGCAUCGAUGAAGAACGCAGC
rnacentral:misc_RNA from 1 species